AGUGGGGAAUAUUGCACAAUGGGCGAAAGCCUGAUGCAGCAACGCCGCGUGAGCGAUGAAGGCCUUUGGGUCGUAAAGCUCUGUCCUUGGGGAAGAAUAAAUGACGGUACCCUUGGAGGAAGCCCCGGCUAACUACGUGCCAGCAGCCGCGGUAAUACGUAGGGGGCAAGCGUUAUCCGGAAUUAUUGGGCGUAAAGAGUGCGUAGGUGGUUUUGUAAGCGCGGGGUGAAAGGCAAUGGCUCAACCAUUGUAAGCCUUGCGAACUGCAAGACUUGAGUGCAGGAGAGGAAAGUGGAAUUCCUAGUGUAGCGGUGAAAUGCGUAGAUAUUAGGAGGAACACCAGUGGCGAAGGCGACUUUCUGGACUGUAACUGACACUGAGGCACGAAAGCGUGGGGAGCAAA
rnacentral:rRNA from 1 species